rnacentral:rRNA from 1 species
CAGGUAGUUGGCGGGGUAACGGCCCACCGAGCCUGCGAUCAGUAACUGGUGUGAGAGCACGACCAGUCACACGGGCACUGAGACACGGGCCCGACUCCUACGGGAGGCAGCAGUAAGGAAUAUUGGUCAAUGGACGCAAGUCUGAACCAGCCAUGCCGCGUGGAGGAUUAAGGCCCUCUGGGUUGUAAACUCCUUUUAUCUGGGAAGAAAUCCAUAUAUUCUUAUAUGGUUGACGGUACCAGAGGAAUAAGCACCGGCUAACUCCGUGCCAGCAGCCGCGGUAAUACGGAGGGUGCAAGCGUUAUCCGGAUUCACUGGGUUUAAAGGGUGCGUAGGCGGGUAAGUAAGUCCGUGGUGAAAUCUCUGAGCUUAACUCAGAAACUGCCGUGGAUACUAUUUGCCUUGAAUAUUGUGGAGGUGAGCGGAAUAUGUCAUGUAGCGGUGAAAUGCUUAGAUAUGACAUAGAACACCAAUUGCGAAGGCAGCUCACUACACAAUUAUUGACGCUGAGGCACGAAAGCGUGGGGAUCAAACAGGAUUAGAUA